rnacentral:rRNA from 1 species
AUGGCGUCUGCAGGCAACGUGUUCGACCAUGGAAGGCACGGCACCAGCCUUGCCAAAGUCGAGCAGGCCACGAGGUGCUGUGCGACCAGUCCCGUCGACGCGCAGUCUCCUCCGAAGCCGCUGCUGGUAGCCGCCCCGUGCGACGCAGGGGAGUACCCGGUGGUGCUGUUCUUGCACGGCUACCUCUGCAACAACUACUUCUACUCCCAGCUGCUCCACCAUGUGGCCUCCCAUGGCUUCAUCGUCAUCGCUCCUCAGCUGUACACGGUAUCCGGACCCGACACCACCGGCGAGAUAAACUCGGCGGCCGCCGUCAUCGACUGGCUCGCCGCCGGCCUCUCUUCCAAGCUCCCACCUGGUGUUCGACCGAACCUAACUGCGGUGUCCAUCUCCGGCCACAGCCGCGGCGGCAAGGUGGCCUUCGCGCUCGCGCUGGGCCACGCCAAGACCUCCCUGCCUCUGGCGGCCCUCAUCGCCGUCGACCCCGUGGACGGCACCGGCAUGGGCAACCAGACGCCCCCGCCAAUCCUAGCCUACAAGCCGAACGCGCUGCGCGUCCCGGCGCCGGUCAUGGUCAUCGGCACAGGCCUCGGCGAGCUGCCUCGCAACGCCCUGUUCCCGCCGUGCGCGCCUCUGGGCGUGAGCCACGCGGAAUUCUACGAUGAGUGCGCGGCGCCGGCGUGCCACCUCGUGGCGAGGGACUACGGGCACACUGACAUGAUGGACGACGUGACGACGGGCGCCAAGGGGCUGGCCACGCGCGCCCUGUGCAAGAGCGGCGGGGCCAGGGCGCCCAUGAGGCGGUUCGUCGCCGGCGCCAUGGUGGCGUUCCUCAAGAAGUGGGUACAGGGGAAGCCUGAGUGGUUGGAUGCCAUUAGGGAGCAAACUGUGGUCGCGCCUGUGGUGCUGUCCGUGGUGGAGUUCCGUGAUGAGUAG